UUGCAAAGUGUUAUGUUGGUGACUGGAUAGUUCCAGGGGCUGAUGAGGAGACAUAAAAUCACAGUGAACCCAGUGACCAUUUCAAAUCUAAUCCAAUGUGCAAACUGCCUUUGCAAGAGCCUGGAGAGAUUCCCGCCGGUCUCUGCAGGAUUUGGCUUGAGCUCCUCUGCAGGAAUUAGUUCAUGCCAGUGGAAGUAAAUAGGCCCUUGGGGAUGCUGCUGCUGCCACUGAGGUUUCGCACCAGUGCAAUUUUCCCAAGGCGGUGGUGUUUUGCAGGAGAGUAGCUUGCUUCAGGAGGCCCCCUGACUCUCCAGCAUCGACUACAGCUCCUGCUUAAAUGGGAGAGAAAAGGAGAUAUUGAAGAAGAGAGAGAAAGACAAAGGGGAAAGUAUGCUUCUGGAUAUUGCAAAGAUCUCUCAACUUCACUACAAGAUUUUACCAGCACACUCAUCGAUUUCACGUUAGAAAUUCUUGCUCCCCAAACCUUUCCUACUCAGAGGUCCAAGCUCUGAAAACUGCCUGGAAUGGUAUCUUGUUUUGUAAACAUUUCUGUUGGCCAAGUCAUCCUGCACCCUAUUGCUGAGAAUAGCGCUGCCCUGCAGAGGAAAGUUUCUUAACAGCUUCACCAUUCAGACAGCCUCUUCCCUGGCGCAGUGCCACACUGACCAAAUAAAUCAGCUUUACGUACACGACUGUCAAUCAGAACUGCAGCUCUGGACCUCUGAAGCUAAACUGGAAGGCUCAGUUGAAAGGGAGAAGGAAGAGAGGCCUGAAUAGGUAGGUGGAAACGGGGCAAUGAGGAAAGGAGGAUGUAGCAAAAUAGCACUGGAUUAAUACUUGGAGGUAUCCAAGAGCCUCUACGGAAUAGAAGGGCUUGUCAAAAGCAGUUUGUAAGCAAAGGCCCUCAUAUCUCUGGCACUGUCAUUGAGAUUAAAUGGGAUCAUUGGGAAUAAUGGUGAAGCGGAAUGCAUAUUUAAUUAGAGAAAUCAAUGAACCCAAAUGAUUGGGAGGGAGCAAAUCAUUAAGACCCAGCUCCUGCUGCCCCUACUCAGCAAUAUUUCAGACUGACGGCAUUGUGAGAGGGUCUGGUGCGUGGUACAUCACUAGCAAAGCAGAGUGGACUUUUGUGAUUGUUGCUUUGCACAUGGAAGUGCUGUGAAGGGAAUAGGGAGCAGGCUGCUCUACUCAUGUGAAAGCUACCAUCUUCAGAAACGAGGGCAAUUGCUAGGAAAAAAAGCAAUCACUCAGCUCCGGGCCAAACCCGAAACUAUCAGGCUCUAGGGUUAGUCACAAAUGGGCACAGUCACAGCACACAGACAUAUUGGGCUCUUAAACAGAGCAGGAUAAAAUAAAAAACACUUUUUUUUUUUUUUUUUUCCGCAGCAGUGUUGCUUUUGGAAGCUGGCUGAACAUUAUUUGACAGAAUCCUUUUUGCCUGUAAACAUUAUUUUGUCAAAAAAAUUUACCACUGCUUAUGUCAACUACAGGGGAAAAAAAAAAUCACAGUAGAGAUUUUUCUGAAAUGUUUUGAAGUUUAUUUCAAUAUUGUCAUCUCAGUGUUUAUUUUCUCUCAUAUGAUUUUAGAAAGUGUAGAGCAGAAAAAUGAAAGUAAAAAUUCGCACCAAACUUCUGACUGAGUCAAAGCAAACAAUGCCAAUAUUUCAUUACACUGGGCAUUUUCACUUCAUUUUCUUUUGGUUUUAUUCUAUACUGAAAUUUUAAAAAAGGAUUAUUACUGGACAUCUGUGUUACUUAGUGUUCAGGUAACUCUAGGAAAAUGUCCCCUGACUUCAUACAAGCAGAUUUAAAAUGGAGGCCAGAUUAUUUUAGGUGCUUACAGACAGGGAAGCAGAGUUGACAUAUUCUGUAACAUAUGCAAGAGCUAACUGACAAAACCAUGGAGUUUUGCAUUAAGUAACCUUGUAAAUCUGUUUGGUUUGUGGUUGUGGGGCUUGGGGGGUGGGGCAGAGGGAAAUAUGAAAAUUAACCAAUAAAAUGCUUCACAAAAAUAGUCUAUUGAUCUGAAACAAGAAAAUAAAUUAUAUAAGUUCUUUGGAGAAGCUUGACUAUGUAACAUGCCUUAUAGCUCCCCGAGAACACUGUGGAAAGGAAGGAAUUUUCUUGCAACAACAUUUUGGGAUUAACCGAGCUAUUUUGCCUGAGGCAUGAUUUAAGGUACUUUCUUAUUUAAGACAAUUUGUGUUACUGUUUGCAUAAGAAAUCCUACUCCGCAACUAUUUCUAGUGUAAUACCACUGAAGUCAGUGAUUUUACACCAAGGAUGAAUUUGCCCUCAUCCUGUUUCUUCACUUUAUUUAUUUGCCUUGGAAACGAGAAUUACCCACAAUUACUUAUUUAUCAGGUCUAAAAAUUUGGCACCACUUUGAAAAAGCAUUAAAAGCUGAUUGCAAGAGCUCCUGCUCAAGUUGAUACCUGUCAACCUAAAGCAGUGCAACAGUCAGGAUCGCUUCAAUUGAUACUUCUAGAUGAAAUGAUCUGGCCUGCAAACCAGCUGAAUUAAAAAUAAAAAGUAGGAUUUGCAUAUUAAUACCUAAUUUCUCCACUUGAAUCCAUGCAGUGGAACUACCAUUGACUCAUAAUCCAGAUCCUGAAGUACUUCUGAUAAUACAAGACCUUGUACCCUGUGUUUGGCUUCUGCGGGAAUGGCUCAUAGCUUUCUGAAGGCAAGACGCUCACCCUAUCUUGUGGCAAUUUUUGUUCCUUUAUCUAAAACAAAGGGUAUCUUUUUUUAAUAAGUGAAAGAGAAAAUAUGUUGGUUUACAAAUAAAUCUAAAGACUUACAAAGACUUUUCAGUAUUGCAGAGAGGCUGUUAAACUCAUCUGUCAUCAGUUCUAAAGAUAUUUUAGGAUAUGUUUAAUUUACUGGAAGAAAUGGACCUACCCUUUAAAAUUGAGCCAGUGUUCUGUAUAACACUGAUCAUUUUCAGAUUAUAGCUGAUAAAAAUAUAGUUUUAAAUUAUUUUUAAAUACGUGGCUGUAUGUUCUUACUUUUAAU